UUGGUUAAGUUAGAAAGGGCGCACGGUGGAUGCCUUGGCACUAGGAGCCGAAGAAGGACGGGACUAACACCGAUAUGCUUUGGGGAGCUGUACGUAAGCGUUGAUCCAGAGAUUUCCGAAUGGGGGAACCCACUAUCUUUAGUCGGAUAGUAUCCUUACGUGAAUACAUAGCGUGAGGAAGGCAGACCCAGGGAACUGAAACAUCUAAGUACCUGGAGGAAGAGAAAGAAAAAUCGAUUUCCUGAGUAGCGGCGAGCGAAACGGAAAGAGCCCAAACCAAGAAGCUUGCUUCUUGGGGUUGUAGGACACUCUAUACGGAGUUACAAAAGAAAGUUAUAAAUGAAGCGGUCUGGAAAGGCCCGCCAAAGACGGUAACAGCCCGGUAGUUGAAAUAGCUUUCCCUCCAGAGUGGAUCCUGAGUACGGCGGAACACGUGAAAUUCCGUCGGAAUCCGGGAGGACCAUCUCCCAAGGCUAAAUACUCCCUAGUGACCGAUAGUGAACCAGUACCGUGAGGGAAAGGUGAAAAGCACCCCGGAAGGGGAGUGAAACAGUUCCUGAAACCGUGUGCCUACAAGUAGUUAGAGCCCGUUAAUGGGUGAUAGCGUGCCUUUUGUAGAAUGAACCGGCGAGUUACGAUUUGUUGCAAGGUUAAGCGGAAAAAGCGGAGCCGUAGCGAAAGCGAGUCUGAAUAGGGCGCAUAAGUAACAGGUCGUAGACCCGAAACCAGGUGAUCUACCCAUGUCCAGGAUGAAGGUAAGGUAAUACUUACUGGAGGUCCGAACCCACGCACGUUGAAAAGUGCGGGGAUGAGGUGUGGGUAGCGGAGAAAUUCCAAUCGAACUUGGAGAUAGCUGGUUCUCUCCGAAAUAGCUUUAGGGCUAGCCUCGAGGUAAAGAGUCAUGGAGGUAGAGCACUGUUUGGACUAGGGGCCCUUCUCGGGUUACCGAAUUCAGAUAAACUCCGAAUGCCAUGUACUUAUACUCGGGAGUCAGACUGCGAGUGAUAAGAUCCGUAGUCGAAAGGGAAACAGCCCAGACCACCAGUUAAGGUCCCCAAAUAUAUGUUAAGUGGAAAAGGAUGUGGGGUUGCUUAGACAACCAGGAUGUUGGCUUAGAAGCAGCCACCAUUGAAAGAGUGCGUAAUAGCUCACUGGUCGAGUGACCCCGCGCCGAAAAUGUACCGGGGCUAAACAUAUUACCGAAACUGUGGAUGAACCUCUUUAGAGGUUCGUGGUAGGAGAGCGUUCUAAGGGCGGUGAAGUCAGACCGGAAGGACUGGUGGAGCGCUUAGAAGUGAGAAUGCCGGUAUGAGUAGCGAAAGAAGGGUGAGAAUCCCUUCCACCGAAUAUCUAAGGUUUCCUGAGGAAGGCUCGUCCGCUCAGGGUUAGUCGGGACCUAAGCCGAGGCCGAUAGGCGUAGGCGAUGGACAACAGGUAGAGAUUCCUGUACCAGUGCUAAUUGUUUAACCGAUGGGGUGACACAGAAGGAUAGGGAAUCGCACGAAUGGAAAUGUGCGUCCAAGCAGUGAGUGUGAGAAGUAGGCAAAUCCGCUUCUCGCGAAGCAUGAGCUGUGAUGGGGAAGGAAAUUAAGUACGGAAGUUCCUGAUUUCACGCUGUCAAGAAAAGCCUCUAGGAAGAGUAGUACUGCCCGUACCGCAAACCGACACAGGUAGAUGAGGAGAGAAUCCUAAGGUGAGCGAGAGAACUCUCGUUAAGGAACUCGGCAAAAUGACCCCGUAACUUCGGGAGAAGGGGUGCUCUAUUAGGGUGCAAGCCCGAGAGAGCCGCAGUGAAUAGGCCCAGGCGACUGUUUAGCAAAAACACAGGUCUCUGCAAAACCGUAAGGUGACGUAUAGGGGCUGACGCCUGCCCGGUGCUGGAAGGUUAAGAGGAGUGCUUAGCUUCGGCGAAGGUACGAAUUGAAGCCCCAGUAAACGGCGGCCGUAACUAUAACGGUCCUAAGGUAGCGAAAUUCCUUGUCGGGUAAGUUCCGACCCGCACGAAAGGCGCAACGAUCUGGGCACUGUCUCAACGAGAGACUCGGUGAAAUUAUAGUACCUGUGAAGAUGCAGGUUACCCGCGACAGGACGGAAAGACCCCGUGGAGCUUUACUGCAACCUGAUAUGGAAUGUUUGUACCGCUUGUACAGGAUAGG
rnacentral:rRNA from 1 species